CUUGAAAUCUAUUGGUUACAGAAACAUGAGGAUUGCUGCUGCUGAGAGUUUGCUGUGGACUUUUAUUCAGUGGUCUUUGGAUGAAACCUAGAAAAAAAACAAAGUCACUCUGUUGGAUUUUCCUUUGACACCUGGUUGGAUUACUAGAGAUGACCCAGAACAAGAGAUGGAAAAAUAAAUGUUUAUUUCUCUGAAAGGGAAGAACCACUGGAGAGAGAAAGCACAUUGAAUGUGCGGGACAAACCUAUUCUCAACAUGAGACGAUUUGGUGGAAAAUAUUUUUCUACGGAUAAGGGAGUAAAUCAACAUUGCUUUAAUAAUCUCUCCCUCCUUCAACCAAAUCUGUAGUUUAUAAAUUUUUAAAAGAUUUUUUUUCUUUAAUUUUCUGGUCUCAUUUCACCCAUGGCGAGAGGACUAUCAUUUUCAUGUCACCAGAGCUGGGUUGAAUUCCACUCUUUUUUCAAUCUGAGGAAUAUGAUCAACUUACCACAUCUUCAAACACAUUCUUUAUUUGCAGAAUGAUUUUAGUAAGAACAUUUGUGCUUGAUCAGGUUGUUGUAUUUUUCAAAAUGUGAGCAGACGGUUUUCAGUUGGUCCCAUGUUACGUGUCAGUUGUGACUGGCGCCCCACCAUCCCUCUUCAGGAAAACAGACAAGCUUAACUUUGACUUCAAUGGGACUUUAAAACAUGCUUAAUUGUAAGCACCUGAUUAAGUGUUUCCCAGAAUAGGCCUGGAUUUAAGCACAUGCCAUAAUGCUUUUCUGAACUGGGCCCUGGAUAAACAUAAGUCUUAAAAUUAGAGCCCUGAGCCUAAAAAUAUGUAACUUUACUCGUGUGUCUAGUGCCACUUAGUACAAUGGGACUUCUGACAUGAGCAGAAUUGAAUAUAUGAAUAAGUGUUUGUGGGAACAGGGCUUAGAAUUUCAAGUGCUCUACUCAAAUUUUAUAAAUGUAAACCUUGCCUUUCAUUAGUAUUCUCCCAUGUUCACUUAAAAGACGGUGCUUCUGUGAAAUUAAUAGCAGGAACAUUUGUAUGUAAUAUAUUCAGAAAACUACACGGUUGAAAAAUGGACUCAUUUAAAAGCUAGAAUAAGUAUUCACAGGACAACACUAUAAAGCUGGGUGAAUACUGGCAGACUAUUUCUGUUUCAACACAUUUGUAAUAAAAACUUUUUUGAAGGGGUAGGAGGAAUAGUGUUAACUCAUUCUUUUUGGAUAAGAUAUUAGAUACGUAGACUGUUUCUUUAUUGCUUUUGGCAUGUUGAUUUCUACUUAAUACCCACAAUGCUUAAUGAAACUAGUUAUGCUGCUAGCAGGUAGAGUAACAACUGAUUAAGAUAUUUCUGAAAUAUUUCUCUUCAGUUGUAUAACUAAGGCAUAAAUAUUUACAUUGUAGUUAUCAGUAAAAUAUAUUUUUCUGAAAGUACCAAUAACAACUCAAUCCCUUAAUUAAGAUAUAAAACAGCUGUUUGAUGGCACUUACAGAAACAUUUCCCUUUGACUGAUAACUUGAAGAGCAGAGAAUUUACUUUAGGCGCUUUUAAAUAAUUCUCAAAUAUUUUGGAAAGAAGUUUUAAAUAUGAAGCUUAUAUAAAUGCAAAUCAGCACUUGUGGCAGUUAUUUUCCAAGGUUAAAAAUGUUUGUUCACAUGGCCUCAGACUUGUGAAUGGGUAUAAUAAUGAAUGGAUUAUUAUUAGGA